GGUACCUGUCUGACCUACAUCACCAUAUUAGAGAAGCAUAUCAGAAACAUAAAUACAUGUAUCUUCACAACCCUGUGAGGGUGAUGCAGGUUAUCUUGGUCAGAAGGGUACCAGGGACAUCAAGGACACAAGGAGUCAGAUUUUCAGAAAAAAAGAGAUCCAAAGUCCAGGCAUGUAACUGUGUGUCUACAUUUCCACACUACUGCAGCUGAGAGGACAAAUCAGGGUGCUAAAGAAGCAAAGGGAAAGCACCCUUUUUCCCCACGUGAACUCAUUAACUAUGUGCGCAACCACAACUGAAAACCAGAAUGCCCAGUCUAUCCAACGGAACUAGUGUUUGUUUUGGACAUAUCCCAGUUACUUGAAAGAAUAAGAGAGACUGUAAAUCAGUAGUGAAUGCCACCAAAAUUAGAGACAGCAACUGCCUGCCCAGUGGGAGCUAGAGUCACUGUUGUGUCCUACAAUUCCAAUAUUCGUUAUCUGAUCCGCUUCUCCGAGUUCUACAGCAAGAAUCAGCUUCCUCAACAAACUUGAAAAUCUGGCUUAUGAGAGAUCCUCAAGUGAAUGGGAUAUUGCCAGAGUGAUGAGAUUCAUUGCCAGGAAUGUUUUCAGGUGAACUCGCCAAGGUCCUCAUGUGAGAAAGUAGCAGUGUUUUUCAGCAAUGGACCUUCUGCAGAAGAAUUUUCUAUUAACACAGCAAUUCUGGAGUACAGUGCAUUUGAUAUUGUUCCAGUAGUUAUCACUUUUAAUGAAGUUCCCCACAUCAGUCGUUCUUCCGCAGUAAGAAAUCCACUAACAUUUUCAUUCUGAUGGUCAGUAACAAGACUUUGUAUUUCACAGCCUUCAAAACAUAGUGGGCCACAUUCAUCCUUUGGUGUAACUCCAUUAUCUUCAGUGGAGUUACACCCAGGACAGAUCGGGCUCAUUGGAUUGGUUAUUUGUGAUUAUAUAUGGGGCCAAAUCCAGAAGACUUACAUGAAUAGUGAUUAUUUAUGCUAGUGAUCCCAUUAAAGUCAGUAGAACUACUUAAACAGGGGCAGGGAAACUUUUUGGCCUGAUGGCCGCAUCGGAUUUGGUAAAUUGUA